GACGAACGCUGGCGGCGUGCUUAACACAUGCAAGUCGAACGGUAAGGCCCCAGCUUGCUGGGGUACACGAGUGGCGAACGGGUGAGUAACACGUGGGUGACCUGCCCUGCACUUCGGGAUAAGCCUGGGAAACUGGGUCUAAUACCUGAUAGGACCGCACCGUGAGGGUGUGGUGGAAAGUUUUUCGGUGUGGGAUGGGCCCGCGGCCUAUCAGCUUGUUGGUGGGGUAAUGGCCUACCAAGGCGGCGACGGGUAGCCGGCCUGAGAGGGUGGACGGCCACAUUGGGACUGAGACACGGCCCAGACUCCUACGGGAGGCAGCAGUGGGGAAUAUUGCACAAUGGGCGGAAGCCUGAUGCAGCGACGCCGCGUGGGGGAUGACGGCCUUCGGGUUGUAAACUCCUUUCACCAUCGACGAAGGUUUUCUGACGGUAGAUGGAGAAGAAGCACCGGCUAACUACGUG
rnacentral:rRNA from 1 species